CCCAAAACUCGGGUGUACUACCACGUGCUUUGAUAUCUGGGGGUUCCGUGACUGGGACAACUGGGGUUUCUUGUGGAAAGACCUUCGGCAUUUUCCUAUUGAAACCAGACGUGGCUGUCGAGAUUCAGUCGAUUCGUUCUUUAGCGGCGAUUAAGCGUCUGUUCGUCAUGACUUCUGGAUUGACGGUCAUCCUCCCGAGGCAAAGCAGCCCGCGGUGGACGUGCCGAGGUUCUGCGGGAAAGAACAAGGAUGCCCGGGAGACGAACACUUUCUGCAGGAGCCACAAGGCAGGCCAUGGUUUCAUCGAACAGCCGGGAGUGGAGCGGGAUGCUGAAGGAUAGCGGCGCUCACUUCAGUGAGCCCAGCUUGAACCCCACCAUUGGCGUCCUGGGCACCACUCUGAAUAAGCUGCUUCAGUUGUGACUUGUAGCACAAAUUUCCUGUCACCCAGUUCAUCGUCAUCUCGGAACCAAGGGCAUUGGUCCUGCCUGCUAGUUACCACUUGAAUAAAAGUUGGAAUGGUGCAGUGUGUUUGUGUAAAUAAACUGUUGAAGUUGUGACAGUA
rnacentral:lncRNA from 1 species